rnacentral:rRNA from 1 species
AUUGAACGCUGGCGGCAGGUCUAACACAUGCAAGUCGAACGGUAACAGGAAGAAGCUUGCUUCUUUGCUGACGAGUGGCGGACGGGUGAGUAAUGUCUGGGAAACUGCCUGAUGGAGGGGGAUAACUACUGGAAACGGUAGCUAAUACCGCAUAACGUCGCAAGACCAAAAAGGGGGACCUUCGGGCCUCUUGCCAUCGGAUGUGCCCAGAUGGGAUUAGCUAGUAGGUGGGGUAACGGCUCACCUAGGCGACGAUCCCUAGCUGGUCUGAGAGGAUGACCAGCCACACUGGAACUGAGACACGGUCCAGACCCCUACGGGAGGCAGCAGUGGGGAAUAUUGCACAAUGGGCGCAAGCCUGAUGCAGCCAUGCCGCGUGUAUGAAGAAGGCCUUCGGGUUGUAAAGUACUUUCAGCGGGGAGGAAGGGAGUAAAGUUAAUACCUUUGCUCAUUGACGUUACCCGCAGAAGAAGCACCGGCUAACUCCGUG